UACGUAGGUCCCGAGCGUUGUCCGGAUUUAUUGGGCGUAAAGCGAGCGCAGGUGGUUUAUUAAGUCUGGUGUAAAAGGCAGUGGCUCAACCAUUGUAUUCAUUGGAAACUGGUAGACUUGAGUGCAGGAGAGGAGAGUGGAAUUCCAUGUGUAGCGGUGAAAUGCGUAGAUAUAUGGAGGAACACCGGUGGCGAAAGCGGCUCUCUGGCCUGUAACUGACACUGAGGCUCGAAAGCGUGGGGAGCAAACAGG
rnacentral:rRNA from 1 species